GACGGAGGAUGCAAGCGUUAUCCGGAAUUAUUGGGCGUAAAGCGUCCGCAGGUGGCUAGUCAAGUCUGCUGUCAAAGCGCGGAGCUUAACUUCGUAAAGGCAGUGGAAACUGAUUAGCUAGAGCAUGGUAGGGGUAGAGGGAAUUCCCGGUGUAGCGGUGAAAUGCGUAGAUAUUGGGAAGAACACCGGUGGCGAAAGCGCGCGACUGGACCGAGACUGACACUGAGGGACGAAAGCUAGGGGAGCGAAAGGG
rnacentral:rRNA from 1 species